rnacentral:rRNA from 1 species
AUGAAAGACACUGAAUCAAUUGAUGACUUUGCUCUCAGGAUGACAAGCAUCGCUAAUGGGAUAAGAGGACUUGGAGAAAAGUUUGAUGAGACUAAUGCUGUCAAGAAAAUUCUUCGAACGGUCCCAUCAAAGUUUCUUCAGAUUGCAUUUGCCAUAGAACAAUUUGGUGAUUUCAAGACGAUGAUCAUGGAGGAAGUCAUAGGGAGAUUGAAGGUUCAUGAGGAAUGA